rnacentral:rRNA from 1 species
CAGUAGCCGCGGUAAUACGAAGGGUGCAAGCGUUACUCGGAAUUACUGGGCGUAAAGCGCGCGUAGGUGGUUUGUUAGGUUGGAUGUGAAAUCCCCGGGCUCAACCUGGGAACUGCAUUCAAAACUGACUGACUAGAGUAUGGUAGAGGGUGGUGGAAUUUCCUGUGUAGCGGUGAAAUGCGUAGAUAUAGGAAGGAACACCAGUGGCGAAGGCGACCACCUGGACUAAUACUGACACUGAGGUGCGAAAGCGUGGGGAGCAAACAGGAUUAGAUACCCCUGUAGUCCCUGUCUCUUAUAC